rnacentral:rRNA from 1 species
GACAGAGGGUGCAAACGUUGUUCGGAAUUACUGGGCGUAAAGCGCGUGUAGGCAGCGAGGCAAGUCGGAUGUGAAAGUCCUGGGCUCAACCUAGGAAGUGCAUUCGAAACUGCCGGGCUUGAGUUCUGGAGAGGAAGGCGGAAUUCUCGGUGUAGAGGUGAAAUUCGUAGAUAUCGAGAGGAACACCGGUGGCGAAGGCGGCCUUCUGGACAGUGACUGACGCUGAGACGCGAAAGCGUGGGGAGCGAUCCGG